UACCGCAUACGCCCUACGGGGGAAAGCAGGGGAUCGCAAGACCUUGCACUAUUAGAGCGGCCGAUAUCGGAUUAGCUAGUUGGUGGGGUAACGGCUCACCAAGGCGACGAUCCGUAGCUGGUUUGAGAGGACGACCAGCCACACUGGGACUGAGACACGGCCCAGACUCCUACGGGAGGCAGCAGUGGGGAAUUUUGGACAAUGGGGGAAACCCUGAUCCAGCCAUCCCGCGUGUGCGAUGAAGGCCUUCGGGUUGUAAAGCACUUUUGGCAGGAAAGAAACGUCAUGGGCUAAUACCCCGUGAAACUGACGGUACCUGCAGAAUAAGCACCGGCUAACUACGUGCCAGCAGCCGCGGUAAUACGUAGGGUGCAAGCGUUAAUCGGAAUUACUGGGCGUAAAGCGUGCGCAGGCGGUUCGGAAAGAAAGAUGUGAAAUCCCAGAGCUUAACUUUGGAACUGCAUUUUUAACUACCGAGCUAGAGUGUGUCAGAGGGAGGUGGAAUUCCGCGUGUAGCAGUGAAAUGCGUAGAUAUGCGGAGGAACACCGAUGGCGAAGG
rnacentral:rRNA from 1 species